rnacentral:rRNA from 1 species
CUGAUGCAGCCAUGCCGCGUGCGGGAAGAAGGCCUUCGGGUUGUAAACCGCUUUUGUCAGGGAAGAAACGCGCUGAGCUAAUACCUCGGCGUAAUGACGGUACCUGAAGAAUAAGCACCGGCUAACUACGUGCCAGCAGCCGCGGUAAUACGUAGGGUGCAAGCGUUAAUCGGAAUUACUGGGCGUAAAGCGUGCGCAGGCGGCUUUGCAAGACAGAUGUGAAAUCCCCGGGCUUAACCUGGGAACUGCAUUUGUGACUGCAUGGCUGGAGUGCGGCAGAGGGGGAUGGAAUUCCGCGUGUAGCAGUGAAAUGCGUAGAUAUGCGGAGGAACACCGAUGGCGAAGGCAAUCCCCUGGGCCUGCACUGACGCUCAUGCACGAAAGCGUGGGGAGCAAACAGGAUUAGAUACCCUGGUAGUCCACGCCCUAAACAAUGUCAACUGGUUGUUGGACGGCUUGCUGUUCAGUAACGAACCUAACGCCUGAAGUUGACCGCCUGGGGAGUACGGCCGCAAGGUUGAAACUC